GACGAACGCUGGCGGCGUGCUUAACACAUGCCAGUCGAACGGAAAGGCCCCCAUCUUGGUGGGGGUGCUCGAGUGGCGAACGGGUGAGUAACACGUGGGUGAUCUGCCCUGUACUUCGGGAUAAGCUUGGGAAACUGGGUCUAAUACCGGAUAGGACCAUGGUUUAGUGUCUCAUGGUGGAAAGAUUAUUGUUUUGGUGCAGGAUGAGCUCGCGGCCUAUCAGCUUGUUGGUGGGGUAAUGGCCUACCAAGGCGUCGACGGGUAGCCGGCCUGAGAGGGUGGACGGCCACAUUGGGACUGAGAUACGGCCCAGACUCCUACGGGAGGCAGCAGUGGGGAAUAUUGCACAAUGGGCGCAAGCCUGAUGCAGCGACGCCGCGUGGGGGAUGACGGCCUUCGGGUGGUAAACUCCUUUCGUUAGGGACGAAGCCGCACUUUUUUUGGGUGUGGUGACGGUACCUUUGUGAAGAAGCACCGGCUAACUACGUG
rnacentral:rRNA from 1 species